UGCUGAUGGUGGCCAACUUCUAGGGCGUGGAAACACGUGGUGCAGGUCUGAGGGCUUGUGCGGCUUCAACAAGACUAUGGCGCAGGGUUGAUUCAAGGCAGUGUACACAUGAGAGCUUGAAGUCAACGAGUCGCGGGGUAGCACGGCCAGCUACAUGGAGUCAUGUUGAAGGUUGAGCUGGAGUCUAGUAGAAGAUUUCACUCUGUGUUGAUGGAGGGGCUACGACGUAAAUGCAUGGAGAGUCGAAGCCUAUUUCAACGGAGAGCGAGAGACACGUGGAUCGGACUGGGUACCAGUGGUCUGAUGGAGACGUGAUACUCGGCACCGGUCGGUGAUGAUCGGUGGUUGAGUGAUGUGGGUUCGCGACCCUUGAGACUCGACCGGGACAGUGGAGGCUCGACGCGGUAAUAGCGGCGAGGCGUGCGGUACGCACGUGACAUGGAGACGGGCCAGGACUCUCGUGGUCAUACAUGUGGUGAGACAAACUGCGAAUUUGACUCGAGAUGACUACAAGCAAUGGUGAAAUUCCUUCAACUUUCAGACAGGCGGUCAAGGAAGAGCGGUGAUGUUGAGUUCAGGUAACUCUUAUGUGUGACAUCCAAUAUGAGUUAUUCACUUUCACGCAGGUCAGUGAUCGGUGUGUGAUAGUGAUGGAUACUCUGGAAGUUGGGAGCGUAAUUAGAGUAAUGUGGAGCUUAAUUUUGCUCGAGGGUUGACUGUGAAGAAGACGAGAAAGGACUACAGUUGCAGGUGGAGCCACAUGGAGUCCGGAAGUAGCAGUGGUGCUCAUGGCGUAUCUCAAGUCCAAUGUACAUGGAAGUUUGACGCACGGAUGAACUCAAGGUGGCGGAGAAUAUUCGCCAAGGUGGAGUUUGUUAGAGUUGUGUCGAAUAUGGUGUACACGGUAGGUUACAGUUGGACUCUGAGUAGUAU
rnacentral:lncRNA from 1 species